AGUGAACGCUGGCGGUAGGCCUAACACAUGCAAGUCGAACGGCAGCACAGUAAGAGCUUGCUCUUACGGGUGGCGAGUGGCGGACGGGUGAGGAAUACAUCGGAAUCUACUUUUUCGUGGGGGAUAACGUAGAGAAACUUACGCUAAUACCGCAUACGACCUACGGGUGAAAGCAGGGGAUCUUCGGACCUUGCGCGAUUGAAUGAGCCGAUGUCGGAUUAGCUAGUUGGCGGGGUAAAGGCCCACCAAGGCGACGAUCCGUAGCUGGUCUGAGAGGAUGAUCAGCCACACUGGAACUGAGACACGGUCCAGACUCCUACGGGAGGCAGCAGUGGGGAAUAUUGGACAAUGGGCGCAAGCCUGAUCCAGCCAUACCGCGUGGGUGAAGAAGGCCUUCGGGUUGUAAAGCCCUUUUGUUGGGAAAGAAAAGCAGCAGGGUAAUACCCCGCUGUUCUGACGGUACCCAAAGAAUAAGCACCGGCUAACUUCGUG
rnacentral:rRNA from 1 species